rnacentral:rRNA from 1 species
GACGAACGCUGGCGGCGUGCUUAACACAUGCAAGUCGAACGGAAAGGCCCUGCUUGCAGGGUACUCGAGUGGCGAACGGGCGAGUAACACGUGGGUGAUCUGCCCUGCACUUCGGGAUAAGCCUGGGAAACUGGGUCUAAUACCGGAUAGGAGCCAGUUUUAGUGUGAUGGUUGGAAAGUUUUUUCGGUGUAGGAUGAGCUCGCGGCCUAUCAGCUUGUUGGUGGGGUAAUGGCCUACCAAGGCGGCGACGGGUAGCCGGCCUGAGAGGGUGGACGGCCACAUUGGGACUGAGAUACGGCCCAGACUCCUACGGGAGGCAGCAGUGGGGAAGAUUGCACAAUGGGCGCAAGCCUGAUGCAGCGACGCGGCGUGGGGGAUGACGGCAUUCGGGUUGUGAACUCAUUUCGCUAGGGACGAAGCUUUUUGUGACGGUACCUAGAUAAGAAGCACCGGCUAACUACGUG